rnacentral:pre_miRNA from 1 species
AAUAAGUGCAGUUUUACACUAUUCACGUUCAACGUUUGACCGUCCGUCUUAUUUGAAAAUUUUUUAUGAUUAGUAUUUUUAUUGCUAUUAGAUGAUAAAACAUGAAUAGUACUCUAUGUGUGACUAAAUGUUUUUAAUUUUUUCACAAAUUUUUCAAAUAAGACGGACAGUCAAACGUUGAACGUGAAUAGUGCAAAACUGCACUUAUU